UACGGGGGGGGCAAGCGUUGUUCGGAAUUACUGGGCGUAAAGGGCUCGUAGGUGGCCAACUAAGUCAACCGUGAAAUCCCUCGGCUUAACCGGGGAACUGCGUCUGAUACUGGAUGGCUAGAGUUUGGGAGAGGGAUGCGGAAUUCCAGGUGUAGCGGUGAAAUGCGUAGAUAUCUGGAGGAACACCGGUGGCGAAGGCGGCAUCCUGGACCGGCAUUGACGCUGAGGCGCGAAAGCCAGGGGAGCAAACGGG
rnacentral:rRNA from 1 species